ACCAGACUCCUACGGGAGGCAGCAGUGGGGGAUAUUGCACAAUGGGGGGAACCCUGAUGCAGCGACGCCGCGUGGGUGAAGAAGCGCCUCGGCGCGUAAAGCCCUGUCAGCAGGGAAGAAAAUGACGGUACCUGAAGAAGAAGCCCCGGCUAACUACGUGCCAGCAGCCGCGGUAAUACGUAGGGGGCAAGCGUUAUCCGGAUUUACUGGGUGUAAAGGGGGCGCAGACGGCGAUGCAAGCCAGGAGUGAAAGCCCGGGGCCCAACCCCGGGACUGCUCUUGGAACUGCGUGGCUGGAGUGCAGGAGGGGCAGGCGGAAUUCCUGGUGUAGCGGUGAAAUGCGUAGAUAUCAGGAGGAACACCGGUGGCGAAGGCGGCCUGCUGGACUGCAACUGACGUUGAGGCGCGAAAGCGUGGGGAGCAAACAGGAUUAGAUACCCCGGUAC
rnacentral:rRNA from 1 species